AGAUGUGUGUUGCCCUUUAUUGGUAGAUUGUGUGAACUGCAGUUUAAUUUCCUUUUACAGGCUGAACUGAUGUCACACUUACAAGACACAAAAAGUUCCUAUGAAAAGGUGUGCUUGGAAAAUGCUGGUUUGAGACAGAAACUCAAGUCAUUUUUGAGGGAGAUCAGUUCGGCACCCUUCACAGAAUGCAGCAGUCCAGACACUAACACUUCGCAUACACAUGCAGUCACAACGAAUACUGAGAUGAUUGUCGUUUCACACCAUGUGUCUCAGCAAUGUCCUGCAGGUGUCACACAAGGAAGUGAAUGCUGCUUUAGUCAGUGUGAAGGGUUUCAGCAUCCUGAGGAGGAGCAUACAGAGAAAUCUGAAACCACAAACAAGAGCAACUUUGAACAGCCUCUGUACAAACCCCAAAACCUCUAUAAGCAGUUGAGGAGGGAGCACAGACUGUUACUGGACGUGAUGCUGGUUCUGUACAGAAGAGAGUGGUUUCUGCAGGAUGCCAUACCAUACGUCAGACGUACGCUCAGGAAGUGUGGACUGAGGCCUGAGGAUUUAGACUAAAGACUGUUCUUGCGUGUGAGUGAAUGAAGAAGGUGUCACUGGGGCCACAUCCUAAGGUACAAAAGCUAAAAGUUAGGUCUUUGUACCUUAUUUACCCCUAAAUGCCACAUAUUAAUACCUUAAAGGUACAUAUCAGUACUUUUAAGUACAUAUUAGUUCCUAAAUUGUACAUACUAGUAAUUUUUGAAAGGUUAUCGGCCCAAUCUAUCUUUUUUUUUUUUUGAGAGUGUACAGUACAGUGAAUGUAUGAAGAAGCAUUCAAGAUUUAAAGCACUGUAAAAUUAUCAUAAAAGCUGUAUAAACAGCUUUAUGUGAGUAACAGACCAACAUUUACUGAAAACACUGGCAUCCUCCCAUGGGAGAUGAUAAGAGUUCAUGAGGCAAAGUGUUCGAUUUAUGAAUGAAUUGUUCUUAUGAUUCAGUUAUCACAGCAGUUAAUUGAAAAUUACUGAAAUAUUAUCAGUAAAUUACUUAAAUCUUAGUCUGUUUCUAACAACUAAGUUAUCGUAUGACUUCAGAAGAGUUUGAAUAUAGUGCAUGAGUCAUAUGGACUACUUUUUAUGAUACUUUAAUGAUGCUUUUCCAUCUUUUUUUGAAGAUUAAAGGCUUAAUUCCCUAUUGCAAUUGCAUGCAAAAGAAGGACCAGCACAGUAUAUGUUCAUGUUCUAUAGAAGAAACAAAGUCAUCACAGGUUAGGAACAACAUGACAGUGAGGAAAUGAUGACUGAAAUGCACUUUUGGGUGAACUAUUUCUUUAAGUUUAAAACUGACAUCAUGAUAUAUUUAACUUAACUAAGGGAACAAUAAAGAAAAAACACUGCUAACAAAGUAAUGAACUUGACACCCAGAUUCAUCAUGUUUGUAUCAUAUCAUUUCAUUUAUUUAAUGCAAGAAUUAAAUUUGGAAUCCAUUUAAAAUCCAGCAGAAAAUGCAUUCAACCAAAAGACAUGUAAACUAUUAAAUAAUCAUUUUAUGAGUUUAUUGAUUUGUUUUGAUCGUUUUUCUCCAUAGCAACACAAUGAAAAAACAAAACCGAUCUCUGUUUCUAUCACACCAUGUAGUUAUAGAGUUAUAGUACUGAUGAUGAAUUUUGUAUUGUAGGCUGUGGUU
ensembl:lncRNA